UGCCAUUUAAAUGUCGCUUGAUAACGGAUAGUGCAAAAUGGUGAAAAAAGGAUCGAAAAAAGGCUCCGGGAAGAAGAAAGCUCCGAAAAUUUCUACUGAAGAACAACUCGAAAUUCUUCGAAAUGAAGCUGAAGCCAAUUGGCGGGCCGAACAAGAAGCCCUGUCAGCUAAAGAAGCCUUAGGAAAUAAACGAUAUAACCAGCGGCGUGCGGUUUUGGUCGAGACGAUCAAGUUUUUUCGAAAGCUAGAAAAAACAGCAACAGAUGUUAACCGCCAGCUACAGAAUAAAACUGAGUGGGAACAGUAUUUGUCCUGCGAAAAUCGACCCAAUGCAGCAAGUGCCGCGGAUUUACGUGAUUUUUUGUACCGAUGGCAGUAUGAAUCAGCUGAAGAGGCGCAAAAUUUAACCAGCUGGACGUUGGACAUUAAUGAACGAAGUGUUCUGACGCAAAACGAGUUGGAACCUGUUAAAACUCGAAAAUUACUCGAGAGCGAGAAUGAAAACCUAAUUCACAAACAGCAUCUUGCCCGGAUUAAACAGGCGCUUAAAGUGUUAGCUCUCAUAGAAGAUUCGUCACAACACAGUUUUCCACACAAGGAGGUUCUUUUAGCAAGGGAUGAAAUAAGGAAGAAGAUAUCUGAUACACUGGAUGAGAUGACCAUGAGCAUUGGGAGAAACAUUUGGCGUGACAUGAAACCACUAGAUUCAAUUACGGCACAGUUUUCAUUCUCCUCCGAUAUUCUUCGAUUCUUUAUCUGGAGUUUUCGUGAUGUCCCAUUACCACCUGAAUACAAUCAUUUAAUCAAAGUACUUCCAAUGAAUGCUUUGGAGCUCAAAUUUUCGAAACCAAUUUCGUUUGAUUUGAAAGAAACACUAAUGCGUGCAUACUGGACGCGGUUCGAUCAUUAUUCUGACCACGAUAGGUAUUUUCGUUGCGCUACACUGGAAGCAGUGCCUGAUUUGAUUAUUAGCCAAGAGAUUGAGUGGGCUGAGAGGAACGCACUGCGAAUGACAAAGCUUCAAUCCAUGAAAACAGCUAGAGAAAAGUUUGAAGAGGACAAGAAGAAACAAGAACUCGAACAACAAGCGGAUGCUAAAAAUAUUGGAAAGAAUGUUAAAACUGAUAAAACUAAGAAGAAGAAAAAAAUUAAAACGAAAAAUGAUGCAACUAAUUUGUUACCCGAUGUUCCACCGCCCAUAAUAACCGAGGCUACGAUCGUUGAUGUUGAAACGGAAUAUGUCCAACAGGAAAUGGAGCAGUAUCACAAUAGAAUGCAUGAAAUUGGUCCGGAAUCUUUGAACUUGAGUGAAAACAUGGUGAACCUUCGCAAAUACAGGAUCACAGGUGGCAUUUAUUGUCUGAACAGAUUUCGCAAGCUUCCACAGACGGUGGAGCUAAGAAAUGAUUUUAUUUACUCAUCUGUGCCAUCGGAUCUUAAACUAGCAGAGUUUCAAUAUGUUGGUAAAUCUGAAGAUGAGCUGAUUAAAAUUGAAUUCAAACUACCCGAAUACUGCUUCUGGUGGCAUGAACCUAUUGCUUGCAGCUGGGAGUCAUGGGAAGAAAGCCUAGAGUUUCAAUCUUUGGACAAACGGUUGCAGGAAUUUCAUUUAAACUACGAAAACAUUAUGCAAGAGCAGGCGAAGCUGUUAUUUAGUGCUCCGAAAGUUGUCAAGAAUCCGUUGAAACCAACAAUUAUACCGGAUUUCAAUCUGAGUGAUAUUCCAGCUGAAAUCAAGCUGCAUUAUCUUAUUGUCGAUCACAUUUUACCACGACUCCCGCAAAAUUUCAAGUUUCACGCAGAGCUGCGAAACAUAUUCAAAACUAUGCAGUCGAAACUGCACCACGGCCAGCGAUUGAGAAUUGAAGAGUUGCUCAACGAACUUUUGUAUCCGAAAUAUCUAGCAAUGCAGGCUUCGGACAAAGUCCAACAAAACACCAGCAAUGAAAUAUUCCGAAUUCCUAGUCAAUCAGAUGUUAGCAAAUCGAAAGAAAGUGUUGCAAGUUUAAAUGGAUCCUUGAUCGAUACGAAUGUGUACACACCCGUUCAGACGCUGUUACAGGAGUUAGCAUCGACUCAAGAAGCCCCUUCUUAUCUCUUUCCACCUACCCGCCGAAUUCCUAUUCUCGUCAUUACAGAGAAAAACGAUGCAGAAAUAAAUGAACAAGAAUUUGAAGAGCUUCUUGAAGGCUUACAGGAAGGUGUAGCCUCCGAUGACGACUUUAAUGCAGAGUCCGUGUAUAAACUGUUUUCAACUUUUCUCAAGGUACUGGAUCGUCUGAGAGAAAAGGAACAACCAGAAUUCGCAGAUGUUCCUACGCCGGAAGAAGAAGAAGAAGUGAAAGACUCUCAAGAAUCAACCAGGACAUCGAAAGACUUAUCACAUCGACACCGACGGAGCCCUAGACAACCUAUAAGAAGAAUGUCGUCAUUUCUGAUGCCCGAUCGACCACGGCAACGUUCAGCACGAGGCUCUAUUGCUACUGUAAGAAGAGAACGCAAGCAAAGAAAAUCUGUUGCGAUGAGUGCUUCGGAUGUGUCUACCGAUGACGAACGCGAGUCAAUGCCGCUGAUAACAGAAGAACUCAAUCUCAGUAUAUUGCCUCAUCCUGUGGGAAGUUGGUCUACAAAGUUAGUUCACAAACAAGAGUAUGAUUCGGUGACAAAAAAAUUAACCAUUUGGGUGCAGCAACUGAGCACAUUCGGUUUUGCGAUGGAAAAAUAUUACAAUUUACCCUUCAUUGGGUGGGAUUUGAAGCGAUGCGGAAAAAUUACGGAAUUAACUACGAUUAUUACUCUUGAAUGCGUCGGUCUCACUGUAGCCAUUAGAGUAACAAAAUCAGGCUACCGUGUGGCAUUUCACGAUACACUUGAGCAGGGCAUUGGCACGCCCACAAACGAGCUCACGUUGGACGAGCUACAACAAUUCCUAACACAGGCAAACGUUACUAUAUUUCCCGAACCGGAUGCCCUUUUUUAUUUGCAGAAAAUGACCACCGCUAAACACGAAUCCAUGGAAGUACACAACCUCAAAGCGAUGGCCGCAUUUUGUCUGACGCAUAAUUUUCGGAACUGCUUUUGGAAUCGGUACUCCUCAGCUCGGGAGGCACUGAUUCAAUGUCGGCAGUUGAUUGAAGGCCGUCAGGAGCCGGAAUUUGUAACUGUGAUGAUGAGUCCCCAGGAGGCAGCUACUGUCACCGUGAAAGAACUGUGCUCCCCACUGGAUCAGGUGCUGCUCGAGUAUUGUCCAACACCGGAAAAUCAAUCGCCAUUCAGAAGUAUACCAUCAGGUCGGGGGUAGAAAUCAGGACACCUAAAACGAUCCAAUUUUAUCGAGCUACAAGGACCAUCUCAAACGAUCCAAUUUUAUCGAGCAACUUUCAAUUGUUAGUCUUUCGCGGGUACCCGAAGAUUUCAGCACACGCUCAAACAAAAAAGAAAUAAUUUGCGCGCAGUGAACGCUGUGUGGUCAGGUAUCAAGAUUUAUCUGGAUUAUCCAGAUUUUUUAACAGAUUUUGGGGCCCUUUACAAACGAGGUGAGCAACCCGCCUCGCUUCCACUCACGGACGAGACGAGAACAAAAUGUUAUUCUGGAA